AAUAAAUAUAUAAAAUGAUAAUGGAACUUGCUCUUCUUUUUGGUUCUGUGAAGGAUAUGUGCUCAAGUGACUUGAUGUAAUAUCAUAGAUGAUGAAAUUUCUGCUUUUGCUUGAGUAA